rnacentral:rRNA from 1 species
GUGAAAUUGAACUCGCUGUGAAGAUGCAGUGUACCCGCGGCAAGACGGAAAGACCCCGUGAACCUUUACUAUAGCUUGACACUGAACAUUGAGCCUUGAUGUGUAGGAUAGGUGGGAGGCUUUGAAGUGUGGACGCCAGUCUGCAUGGAGCCGGCCUUGAAAUACCACCCUUUAAUGUUUGAUGUUCUAACGUGGACCCGUAAUCCGGGUUGCGGACAGUGUCUGGUGGGUAGUUUGACUGGGGCGGUCUCCUCCUAAAGAGUAACGGAGGAGCACGAAGGUUGGCUAAUCCUGGUCGGACAUCAGGAGGUUAGUGCAAUGGCAUAAGCCAGCUUGACUGCGAGCGUGACGGCGCGAGCAGGUGCGAAAGCAGGUCAUAGUGAUCCGGUGGUUCUGAAUGGAAGGGCCAUCGCUCAACGGAUAAAAGGUACUCCGGGGAUAACAGGCUGAUACCGCCCAAGAGUUCAUAUCGACGGCGGUGUUUGGCACCUCGAUGUCGGCUCAUCACAUCCUGGGGCUGAAGUAGGUCCCAAGGGUAUGGCUGUUCGCCAUUUAAAGUGGUACGCGAGCUGGGUUUAGAACGUCGUGAGACAGUUCGGUCCCUAUCUGCCGUGGGCGCUGGAGAACUGAGGGGGGCUGCUCCUAGUACGAGAGGACCGGAGUGGACGCAUCACUGGUGUUCGGGUUGUCAUGCCAAUGGCACUGCCCGGUAGCUAAAUGCGGAAGAGAUAAGUGCUGAAAGCAUCUAAGCACGAAACUUGCCCCGAGAUGAGUUCUCCCUGAGACUUAAAGUCUCCUGAAGGAACGUUGAAGACGACGACGUUGAUAGGCCGGGUGUGUAAGCGCAGCGAUGCGUUGAGCUAACCGGUACUAAUGAACCGUGAGGCUUAACCUUACAACGCCGAAG